rnacentral:tRNA from 1 species
UCCGAUAUGGUGUAGUGGCCAACAUGAUGCCCUCUCAUCUCACAUGCGAGGUUAGGCAUAGCCCCGAGUUCGAUUCUCGGUUUCGGAA